AAUAAUCUGCUGGAAAUAAUAUCUACCAAUAUAAAUAAAGCAUCCAGCCACUGUAAUCUGCAAUGCUGAUAAUAAUGCCAUGAAGUAGCACUGCCUAAACAUCUACAAAGUACUCUCGUGUACUUUUUAUGUGUGUAUUCCUAUCACGAAGUUAAUAAACUAUUUUAUCAAAUGAAUAUCGCAAUACCAAAAUCUCCAUCUCUAAACUGGUGAAACUUGCUCACAUAGCAUAUUUCGAGAAUCAACUUACAUCAACACAUAAUUUGUACGCUUAUUAUCCAAAUGUGAUUAAGUGUUUAAAGAAUUGAACCAAGUCAUAUGAAGUGAAAAAUUCUUAAUCUUUUAAAAAUUAUAUGGCCCAAUCCAAAUGACAGUAAAUUAUAACACAAGUACCAUACCCGGGGAAAAAAAUCCUAUUACAAGUUAGCUUUCCAUGACAAAUAGAUUUAGAAAUAAUAAAAUAUCUAACAUAUGAGAAGAAUAAUUAACUUCUUUAGACAGAUCUCUAAGUAAAGGAAAGUAAAAAAUUGAUGUCAUAUAUCAGGAAUGAUUUUUUGGCAUACCGCAUACAUAUGUAAUAACGCAUAAAUAAUUAAGUUUUAUGGAAUUUGGGUUUUAUCAUAUAUUGAUUAUUCCAUUGCUAAGUAUUUAAGCUUUAAAAUACAUUAUUUUCUUAAAUUCCUUGUCUUGCACAAGUUUUUUGCACGAGAACUAAAACCACAUGACUAGUUAAAAUAAAAGCUUCACGUUCAUUUGCAGAAAACUAUCAGGUAAAAUAUUUCCGGGUUGGUCAAGGUAGGGAAUGGAUAAAAUGAUUUUGGCCUUCAGUUGUUGUCACUAUAAUCAGGUAUACUAUAUACUUAGGAAGCAUUUGGUUUAUGAAUAUGUUUCCUAUUUUCAUUUUCUACUUUCACAAAAGUUUACAAAAUGUCACAUUGUUUUCACUUUAUUUCCUGUUAAAAUAGAAUAAGGUACAAAAGAAAAGUUGGUAUGGAAAAACAUAAUAACAAGUUAACAACUAUUAGAAUUAGAGAACUUACUUGGCCAUGGCUAUUAGGAUGCACAGUGAAACACAUCUAGAAAAUGAUAUAGUAAAUGAAUAUACUAUAUCCAUCUAUUUGAGCACAAGACAAAAGGGUGGUUGGAAUGUUAAGGCUUGGUGUCUGGUGAAUGUGAGUUUGGCAACCUUGGUACAACAGCCAGGAGGGAGUUCACUUCACGUGUAAACGUACUAGGAAACUGGGGCUUGUCAUAUAAUGAGAAAACAUAUCCUAAUAUUGGUGCAUUGAGGCAAAACAUGACACUUCAGAUUACAGUUAUAGUCCGGUUGCAUCUGCAAUGCUAACGGUGAUGCUGCAUUGUAGCAAUUCCAAAACAUCCUAAGGUAUAUGUUCAUGUCAGAUAAAAAAAUCAUCAAUUUUCAAUAGAAUAUCUUCUUC
rnacentral:lncRNA from 1 species